CCAGGCACAUGUGGUGUGUUUCCUAGUUAGGAGACAACCCAUUGGCCCUAAAUCAAAGCUUCAGGCUUAUUCUUGGAGGUGGUGCAAAGAUAUUCACUUUAUUUUCUUCAGUGGUUUCAUUUAUGAUCAUUGUCAUCUCGAAUAUCCUUAAAAACUCAACGACAGGGAGAAUUUAAGGUCCUUUAAAUGGUCAUUUGGUACCAUUCAUACAACGAAUAGCGUGCCAAUGCUCUUAAUCAGGUUGGAUAGACCUAAAGUCGUUGUUAGAGAUGUGAUUUAGGUGUAAAGUUAGUGUGCGUAGUAUUGCAUUCAUCCAAACAACUAACUUCCCCACAUUCCUACCUAAUCACGUGGUUAAUUGAAUUGGUCACAUGUAUACAAGAAACAUGAUUCAAUUAACUCAUACUUGAGGACAAUAUCAAUAAGAUUAUCCAUAAGUAAAACAUACACCAAACUUGAAUCCAAGAACAUGGAAAAAUGUUCACAAAGUAAAUGGUUUACUAAGGGGAUUCAGCCAACAAGGCCAUCCAUGUCAAAAUUCUGCUCUUCCAACAGUGUU
rnacentral:lncRNA from 1 species